rnacentral:rRNA from 1 species
UACGGAGGGGGCUAGCGUUGUUCGGAAUUACUGGGCGUAAAGCGCACGUAGGCGGCUUUGUAAGUUAGAGGUGAAAGCCCAGGGCUCAACCCUGGAAUUGCCUUUAAGACUGCAUCGCUAGAAUUGUGGAGAGGUAAGUGGAAUUCCGAGUGUAGAGGUGAAAUUCGUAGAUAUUCGGAAGAACACCGGUGGCGAAGGCGGCCACCUGGACGGUCACUGACGCUGAGACGCGAAAGCGUGGGGAGCAAACAGG